CGCACGUACGCACGGACGUCCUCCCGAGGGAGGCGGGAACUCGGUUCGCGGGCGCGGAGCGGUCCCGGACCCUCGAAGCCAGUUCCUUGCGUCAGUGCCGCGGCUCUUUAACCCGAAGGGAGAUUUUUUUUUUAAAGCCAGAGGCCGUUGACGCUGGGUAGCCUUUGGCUGGGGUUGGUUAUGAACUCCGACACAGCGGUGGUGCAUACGGAAGGGUGGUAGCCGGGACGGUUCCGGUCCCUGCGAGCGUGUCCCGGGCGUCUCCGCGGAAGUUUCACCUGCCGCGCCGCUCGAUCGCCGGGACCUCCUGGGUCUCUGCUGUGCGUAGACCAGCCGCGUUCCUUUGGGUGGCCGUGGAGCACUAAAGCGGGGCUUAUUGUUUGUUUGGUUUUGGUUUUUUUUUUUGUUUUUUUUUUGCUUUUUGUUUUUGAACUGAGGAUCUAUCAGAAAUAGGCUGAAAAGACCGAGUGAGGAAGAAACUCUUUAACAGCUAUUUUUGGCAUCUUAAGGUGAUUCUCAGGAGUUGCUACGUAUCAGAAUCAACGGAGGAGUUUUUCAAAGCAGAGAUGCCAGGGCCAGUCCCCAGACCUGAAUCAGGAAGUGAGGGAGAGAGCCGACGGAGGGGGAAAAGUCCCUUCAGCUGAUUCUUAUGUAUGUCAGUUUGGAGAGCCACGGAUAUAACCAAUACUGCGUCCUUCUGAGGUCCCACUUUAAGUGUCCUGGGUUGAGCUGGGUGACAAAUGCCCUUACAACAAUGGUAGUAGAAGCUUUCAGGCCAAGCGCAGUGGCUCACGCCUGUAAUCCCAGCACUUUGGGAGGCCGAGGCGGGCAGAUCACUUGAGGUCAGGUCAGGAGUUCGUGGGCAGCCUGGCCAAUAUGGUGAAACCCCGUCUCUACUAAAAAUAUAAAAAUUAGCCGGGUGUAAUGGCGUGCGCCUGUAAUCCGAGCUACUCAGGAGGCUGAGGCAGGAGAAUGGCUUGAACCCGGCAGGAGGCGGAGGCUGCAGUGAGCCGAGAUAGCGCCACUACACUCCAGCCUGGGCGACAGAGCGAAACUCCGUCUCAAAAAAAAAAGAAAAGCUUUCAGAAAGUUGCCUUUUUAUUUGAAAAAAAAAAAAAGGUAUUUGGAGGAUUUUAUGUAGUGCAACAACUGUUUUAGUGUUAAGAUCAUGAAAUGCUUUGGUCUCCUGUUAGUGUUCCCAAGAAAGGUGCUGUAAGUCCUUAAACCACGUGAAAACUUUUUUUUUUUUUGAGACCUCCUCGUUCUGUCGCCCUGGCUGGAGUGCAGUGGCGUCAUCACAUUUCAUUGCAGCCUCGACUUCCCAGGCUCAAGCCGUGCUCCUCGCAAUUACCUGGGACCGUAGAUGCACGCCACCAUGACUUAGCUGAUCUUUUUUUUCCCUUUGCCUCGAAGAGGCUGGGGUCUCACCAUGUUGCCCAGGCUGAAACUCCUGGGCCCGAGCGAUUGGCCCGCCUCAGCCGCUGGAAAUGCUAGCAUUACAGGCAUGAGCCACUGCGCCCAGCCUCCUGAAAACUUUUUAAAAUUUAUUCAAAAAUGUUUCCUGACCUCUUUAUUGUCAUAGUGUUUUAGAGAUACACUGGGAUUACAAAACAGAGGAGCUCCCUGCAUUCAAGGGGUUUACAAUCUAAUAGAGAAAAAGAUUGAGAAUAGAUACAUGCCAGGGAGUGGUAAGUGCUGUGAAGAAAAGAAUAAGUGGGGUAAAAGGGGUUAGAGGUGAUUGAAGAAGGCCCCUGUUGAUCAGAUGAAGGAACCUGUCUUGGAGAAGAGCAGGAGAGGAACACAUAACAAGUGCAAAGGGCCUGAGGGAAACGGAUUCUUGGCUUGUUAGAGGAGGAGUCAGUGUGGCUGGAGUGGCUUGAACAAGGGAGAGAAUAGUAGGACAUGAGAUAAGAGAGUUAUUAAGGGAGCCAGGUCAUGUACAGAAAUGGUCUUCAAUUUUUUUUUUAACUUUUGUGCCCUUUGAAAGAAUUUUGGAAGGCUGUUUUCUUUCCUCAAACAUUGUAAGUUGACUAAAUUUUUUCAGAAGUUUAAAUAGUUGCAGAGUUUAAUUUGUGACAUUCUGUAAUACUGACAUUUAAAAAUUAUUUUUAAUCUAAUAGGGAAGUAAACACUAAAGUGGCUUAAUACUAUCCAUUUUUUAAAGUAUAUUAAAAUGUUAUAUUUUUUAAACAUGGAAAAGUAUUGGGAAUGUUUUAAUGAUAUGGCUGGGAGUCUUCCCCCUUCCCCUAAUUAUUUCGAGUAGGCAUGAAUGCAUAUAACAUUGCUAGAAUGAGAUAAGGUCCUGUAUCAACUCCAUUUUUCAUUGCCACAGUCUUUACUGCAUUAAAAACUAUAUAUGUAUACAUGUAUGUAUCUACACACUCACAUAUAUGAUGGAGUAAUUCCCUUAAAACUACCCUUACUUUUUUAUGUACCCCUUGGAAAAUUUUCCUUCACUGAAGUACCCCAGGAGUACUCAUACCCUAGCCUUAGGACCACUGAGUCAGAUAGGAAGGCUUGGAUGGGUUUUGAGCAAAGACUCAAAGCAGAAUUGUGAAAAGAGUCACUGUGGCUGCUUCCUAGAGGAAUCACCUGUAAAUGGUCAGUGGAAUAAGGAAGACCAGUUAAGGGGCUAAUAGGGUAAUAACUCGGUUGGUUGGAUCAGGUUAGAAUCUGUAAAGGUGGUGAAAAAUAUGGAGUAUAAAUCAUAAACACUUCUUCUCAAAUUCACUUCAAAAAAAUAAGCUAAUGAACUGAAUUUCUCAACCAAAAGUUUUGCUUCCAUGAGUUUUCUUAACCUUUUGAUGCCUGCUACAUUUGCCUUUAUUAAAAUCUAGAAUAAAAGUGUUGUUUUUGAAAACUAUAUAAUUUGUAUAGGAUGGAAACAGCCCCCAUGAAGUUCACUGUGUGCUCUGAGAAGGCAGUGCCUGGAGUAUAACUCAUGAAAUAUUUAGGAUCAUUGAAACAGACCCAGUUACAUCCUUGAUUUUCUGUGGGAGCCCAGAAAUCUUGCAGGAGAAACUAUGAAAUAAGUCCACAGAUGAGGCUGAGAUACGAUAAUGCACAAACCUGUCUAAUAGACUGCAUAGCAUGGGGUUCAUUAUGCCCUGGGACAAAAUGCUUGGUUUGAAUCUGGUUCCAUCACCUACUAGCUAUGUGAUUUAGGGAAACUUACUUAGGUUGCCUCAGUUCCCUCAGUCAUGAAAGGGUGUUUGCUACGGGUAGGACCUACCUCAAGGUUGCCUCACAAACAAUAUUUGUAAAACGUUAAUAACAGCACCCAGCACAUGGUGAACAUGGAUGUUAAAGUAGACCCAAAGUUCCCUGAAGGAAACAGAACUGGCAGGAGAAACACAUGCCACUGAGAGAAAAUUUCAAGAAGAGGAAUCAUGCUGUGGCCCAAACUGAGCAGCAGGUAGAGGUAGAGGCUGUGUCCAGCCAUUUUCCUGACCUAGGCUACUAUCCCUUGUUCCUCUGGUUUGAGCAUUAUCAGAAAAAACCAGUUCUGAAAUAAAGGAAAGAGCUCUUAGGAGGUUCAUAGCAGUUCUGCUAUGAAGAAAACUCCUCUAAGUUGCUGGUAAACAAUAGUGGAAGGAGUUUUCCAGUUGUCUAGGAAAGAGAAAGGGCAUUGGAGGUGAGUGACCCAGGUAGGUAAGCAAUGGUGAGAACACGAUGUGUCCAUCAUCUGGGCACAGGAGGUUGGCAAAAGCAAGGCAGUAGCCCAAGGGUAGCGUGAAGAUUUGCAAAGGCUGGUCUGCACCUUCUGGACAGAGCAGCCAUGCUGAACAGCAGGAACAGAAGAGUACAUGAGAACCGGCAGAAGGAUGCUGAGCUGCAGCUGAAAUCUGGGAUAUUUCUGUAAAUGUACAAUACUUGCACUCACCAAUGGGUGAGGCCAGAGGAUCUAAAGGUGACAUUUUAUCUUUUAAAGUUCACUUCUCAACUGGGUGUGGUGCCUUACACCUGUAAUACCAGCACUUUGGAGGAAAACAGGAGGAUCACUGGAGGCCAGUAGUUCAAGACCAGCCUGGGCGACAUAGCAAGACCCCCAUCUCUACAAAAAAAAUUUAUUAAUACAAAUUUUAAAAAUAAUGUAAAGUUUAGUUCUCAUCAUUCCAUGGUGUACCAAGUACACUUUGACUUCUAGGUACUCUGUUGUCUGAGUGAGAACUAUUAGUACCAAGAAAAGCAGGACAGAUAGCAGAGUUCUGAGUCUAAUUACUAUCUAUUGGCUUUUCUGUGUCUCUAAGGCCUUUCAGGGGCACGUUGUAAUUCUAGUAAUAAACACCACAUUUGAACAGCAGUUUACAGUUGACAAAGUGCUUUCACACACAUCUCUUAAUUUUUGCAACCAGUAAAAUAUAGCUCAACAAUAAAUAGACUUCCUUAUGUGAAUGUACUGUAAUGUAUUAUCUAUUCAUAGACAAUAAGGUUUUCAAUUUUUUACUAUUAUAAACAAUACUGUGAAAAGCAUUGUGAUGCAUAAUUAUUUGCAUAUCUAUAAUUAUUUCUUCUGAAUAUUCCUAAAAGAAUUGCUGAUUCAAAGAAUAUGCCCAUUGUAAAAGUUUUUAAUAUGUAAAUUUAAAGUAUUCCAUAUGGAUUAUUAAAUUGUUUUGAUGUAUUUUGCUACUAUAAAUAAAAAAGUGAAAUUAACAUGCAAU
rnacentral:lncRNA from 1 species